UUGACUUCGCUAAUUCAUAUUUUUUUUUUCAGCGGAAGAUGUAAUAGUGUGACUCUUCACUUGGAGACAUGGUUUGAGUUUGAGGAUUCUCUGCUAAGUGCUUCUUCUUGAGUUUUGUUUGUGGUGUCAAGUGGUCUCUGUUCUAUUUGACUGACUAUGGGGUCAGCUUGCUGUAUUGCUGCAAGAGAAAAGGACCUGCCCAACAGAACUGGAGGUAACACUUUGCAUAGGAAUGUACAGAUGCUCUCCAACAUGGAGCUUCCGUUGGGAAAAUCGAAGGCGUGUGGCUGGUGAAAUUGAUGAUUCACCAUAUCAAACUUCUCAUAGAUUCAGCAGAGAUGUUAGUGCGGAGGUGAAGGGGCUGCUAGGCUCUGAUAGAGGUAAUCUUUCUGAUGAGGUUAGUCUGCAUGAGAGUUUUGGGACACCCGUCUCUAUAAAGUCUCCAGUACAUGAAGGAAUGGUAGCAAAUCCAAUUGCUCAACGUUCAGGCCUAUUAAUGGAAAGCAAUGACCCUGUACAUGGGAAGAACUCAGCAGAAUCUCCUGAUAUUGCAGAGCUACCUGCCUCAAAGCUUUCAUUUUCUGUACAUUCAUCAUUUUCAACACCGAAUGCUGAUCCUUUGCCCACCUGUGGUCAUCCACUUCCUCCAAACUCGACCCCCUCAAGACGGGCUAGGCAUUCACCUGGGCAUCGGCUAUU
rnacentral:misc_RNA from 1 species